ensembl:lncRNA
AAAACACAUGCAAAGUGUUGUUCCCAUGUUUGAGCUGAAAAAAAGAUGCCGAAGCUUAUUCCUCACAUUUUGUGCACAUCCCUGUUAGAUUAUCUUGCCAAAAGAGAAAUCCUCACUAUCCACCUGACAGGUGCUGCAUAUCACGAAGCUGAUUAAAACAGCAUGAUCAUUACACAGGUGCGCCUUGUGCUGAGGAAAGUAGGCUACACAACCACAUCUUUCCAAGUCACACUAAAUACAUUACCACGUCUUUCCUACAGAGGUCACUAAAUACACUCUUUCCAAGAAGUCACACUAAAUACACUACCACAUCUUUCCUACAGAGGUCACUAAAUACACUCUUUCCAAGAAGUCACACUAAAUACACUACCACAUCUUUCCUACAGAGGUCUCUAAAUACACUACCACAUCUUUAAUACAGAGGUCUCUAAAUACACUACCACAUCUUUCCUACAGAGGUCUCUAAAUACACUACCACAUCUUUUCAAUAGGAGGUCACUACAGACUAGAUCUACCCUCAACCACUGAACCUCUAAAUAUUUUUACCUAACCAUCCAUUUCAUAAAUGAGAUGUAGAAAAAAAAAUCAACUACGUUUUUUUUUUCUCUCACCUCAUCUCAAUGUGUGGGCCUUGCUACCAGCCUGGAAGUAGUUUACAAACACUCAGCUGCUGCUUAUCUUCAGUGGUUGAAUAUAGAAUUAAAAGAACUAGAAGCUUUACCAGCCUGGAAGUAGUUUACAAACAUCGCUCAGCUGCUGCUUAUCUUCAGUGGUUGAAUAUAGAAUUAAAAGAACUAGAAGCUUUACCAGCGGCUACGGUAGUUUAAAAACAGAAAAUCUGAGCUAUUCUAAGUUUGUACAAAUCUUCUAAAAAAACAGGAAUAGCAUUUCUUCUAUAACACCAUUAUCCAACACCAUCUACAAAAACAGCAAAAUAUUCUUUAUUGGAAAUAAUAAUAAUCUAGUCAUAGCAACAGAACUACACAUGGCACGGCUCUGAGAAACCACAGGUGGAAAACACAUCAAACAGACUGAAGUGGAUAAGGAGAAACAAAAGGCAUGUGUUGGUAUAUAAUAUAAUAAUAUAUAUAUAUACACACACAUAUAUCCACUGUGCAGAAUGCGUCCAAAUCAACUCGUCAUGUUGCAAAACAUGUUUUAUAAUAAAAAUAAAUUUCAGUUAACUUUCCCCAUAUUCCCGGGUAACUUUCCCCAUAUUCCCGGGUAACUUUCCCCAUAUUCCCAGGUUUUCCAGGAAUCCUGGUUUGAAGAUACUAGAUUUCUUCCUUGAUUGAUCCAACCUAGAUUUCUAGAGAAUUUGGGGAAAAGUUACUGGAAUUUUGCAACACUAAGUCAUACACAAUUCCAACAGAUUACAGGAAUGUUAUGGUCAGGAGAGAGGACAUCAACAAUAAUGUGAUUGAUGAUUUUGUAAUGUUUCAUAACCAAGGGAAUCAAGGGUUUGGACCAUGGAAAUAGACUCUAGAUAUGUAGAGUGUACCAAUAUGUGUACCAAUAUGUAUACUGAACAAAAAUAUAAAUGCAACAUUAAAGUAUUGGUCCCAUGUUUCAUGAGCUGAAAUAAAAGAUCCAUGAAAUUGGCUUAUUUCUCUCAUUUUGUGCACAAAUUCAUUUGCAUCCCUGUUAGUGAGCAUUUGGUCCUUUGCCAAGGUAAUCCAUCCAGCUGGCAGGUGUGACGUAUCAAGAAGCUGAUUAAUCAGCAUGAUCAUUACACGUGUGCACCUUGUGCUGGGGACAAUAAAAGGCUACUAUAAAAUGUGCGGUUUUGUCACACAACACAACGCCACAGAUGUCUCAAGUUAUGAGGGAGCGUGCAAUUGGCAUGGUGACUGCAGGAAUGUCCACCACAGCUGUUGCCCGAGAAUUGAAUGUUAAUAUCUCAACCAUAAGCCACCUAACGGAUUUCUGUGUUUACAUGUUGCGUUUAUAUUUUUUGUUCAGUUGUGUCGCAAUAGAGGAAUAUUUUACAUUCAAACAGAAAUUAGGAGAAUUAAUUCAUGUUCAUCAAGGCCUUGGAAAAACCUGACAAGUGACCAAAGAGACGCGAGACGAGAAACAGAGGCGAUAUUAGACAUAACAGAAGUGAUAUUAACAGGAAGUCACCAAGUGCCUGAAUUUCAGCCUCAGUCAGAUAAAUAACAAUGUGAUAUACUGAAAGUCUAAUGCAGUAGCUCGAAUCAUACCGGCAUAGCAUAGACUUAAAAAAAAAAAUCAGGAUUAUAAAUAAUAUACAUUAUGUACACAUUUACACAUGUAAACAUUCUCCACCCUACUCUAACCACCUGACAGGACAUGCGUGGGCGACAUCCUGUCACUGUUUUUGGUUUGACUGGUGCGGAGAGCUACAGUAAGUCCCACUGAACGCCAGGGAAACAGGAAUUCAAAUGACCCUCACAGGACGUGAGAGCUGCUUGCAUAUUUGUUUUUCCUAGGAGAUUUUUAUGGAGUCAAAGUCAAUUGUCUAUAUCGUAAAAAUACAUCAAAAAUAAAAAUGAUAUUUUUGGUGUUAAUUUAAGGUUAGGCGUAAGGUUAGCAGUGUGGUUACGGUUAGGCAUAAGGUUAGCAGUGUGGUUACGGUUAGGCGUAAGGUUAGCAGUGUGGUUACGGUUAGGCGUAAGGUUAGCAGUGUGGUUACGGUUAGGCAUAAGGUUAGCAGUGUGGUUAAGGUUAGGCGUAAGGUUAGCAGUGUGGUUAAGGUUAGGCAUAAGGUUAGCAGUGUGGUUAAGGUUAGGCAUAAGGUUAGCAGUGUGGUUAAGGUUAGGCAUAAGGUUAGCAGUGUGGUUAAGGUUAGGCAUAAGGUUAGCAGUGUGGUUAAGGUUAGGCAUAAGGUUAGCAGUGUGGUUACGGUUAGGCAUAAGGUUAGCAGUGUGGUUACGGUUAGGCAUAAGGUUAGCAGUGUGGUGAAGGUUUAAAAUAACAUUUUAAGAAGAGGAAUUGAAGAAAUGGACAGGGGUAACGACCCUAUGGCUGGGAUAACUAGUAUCACGCCCCAAAAUCUCCUAGGAAAAACUAAUUUGUGAGCUUCUUAGCUUACACUUCUGAGGAGUGUUCAUUUGGGUACACCAUUGGAAAUAGCUUUGAACAAUUUAGGUUUACGUUCCAAAAGUUGUUAUUGGACCAGUACAGUUCAGAGAACACUCAGCACCAUUAGGCUGUACCAGGUCUUCAGCCUGGUUAUAUUUUCUACAAAUGCCUCAACAUCCUUCCUUCCUUCAAUAAUAAUUGUUCUGAUUUGACAGGGUCUGUUGACAGAGAUGUGAUGGAGAGAAAACAACCACAGGACAGACCAGAUAUAAAUCACCAAGAAAUGACUGAAGGAAGAAUUCAACAGGAUCUCUGUCUUCAGGGGGACUAGAGGAAUACGGCCCUGUACACUGACCCAGGCAAACAGGGGAGUCAUUUCAUUGGUUCUAGCAGAAUUAUGGAGGCGUGUCUCUACGAGGUUGCAAUGAAAUCGGGGUUAAGAUUUGUAUUGCUGCAAACUGAACAUAAAACGGUUGAUCAGAUUCACUGUUUUCAAUAAAACAGCACCAACUCUUUUAUUGUACACAUUAGACAGUCUAACAGAGAGGUCUUUGGAGACUGACUUCCGCCCUCUUUGAAGCAGAGGCCCUGCCCUCACUGUUUCCUGCCCACUUCCUGGUUACGACAAUAGAACCCCAGGGCCACGUUCAGCAGCCAAAACGUUGCAGAUAGAAACACCAGAAAUAGAGCCAACAUGAUUCCUUAUUCUACAGGACAGAGAGGCAUGUUUGUUCUACAGAGCAUAUUUCUAUCUGAACGUUCCCAAACAUUGUGUCUUGCUGAACGCGCCCCCCCCCCCCAGGGGGAAUGGAUCAUUAUCAAUGUGGCAGAUGAAUUGUAAACAGGGCUGUGUUCAGCAGAGCACACUGUUGUGGAAUGUUCAGAUAUGUUUUUGUAGAACUAACAUGCCUCUCUGACCUGCAGGAUGAGGAAUCACAAAGCUUUAUUCAUGACAUUUGUCUGCAACGCUCCACAAUGUUUUUAACUGCAGACUGAAUGAGGCUCAGAUGUGUAUUUGCAUGUUACAAAUAUUAUUAUUAAGACCUGACCUGUUUUCCUGCUCCUCUACGUACAGCCUGUCUUCCCGGCACAACGCCCCUCUACGUACAGCCUGUCUUCCCGGCACAACGCCCCUCUACGUACAGCCUGUCUUCCCGGCACAACGCCCCUCUACGUACAGCCUGUCUUCCCGGCACAACGCCCCUCUACGUACAGCCUGUCUUCUUCCCGGCACAACGCCCCUCUACGUACAGCCUGUCUUCCCGGCACAACGCCCCUCUACGUACAGCCUGUCUUCCCGGCACAACGCCCCUCUACGUACAGCCUGUCUUCCCGGCACAACGCCCUGUC